CACGUGACUAACCUACCCUUGAGCGGGGGAUAACCUAGGGAAACCUGGGCUAAUACCGCAUAAUACCUAUGGGUCAAAGCGAGCAAUCGCACUUAAGGAGGGGGUCGCGGCAGAUUAGCUAGUUGGUGAGGUAAUGGCUCACCAAGGCGAUGAUCUGUAUCCGGCCUGAGAGGGCGCACGGACACACUGGAACUGAAACACGGUCCAGACUCCUACGGGAGGCAGCAGUGGGGAAUUUUGCGCAAUGGGGGAAACCCUGACGCAGCAACGCCGCGUGGAGGAUGAAAUCCCUUGGGAUGU
rnacentral:rRNA from 1 species